UGUGGGAGGGGGCUUGCUCCCGAUAGCAUCAGGUCUGUCAGAGUAUCUGGCACUGACACACCGCUAUCGGGAGCAAGCCCCCUCCCACA
rnacentral:misc_RNA from 1 species